rnacentral:lncRNA from 1 species
AUUGACUAUUCUAGUACAAAAACAUGUGAUAAUCGAUUAUAGCUUGACAAUAAUCAAUUAUACUGGUAAAAAUUACAAGGUUUUAAUAUUUUCCUACUACAUUCAAAAUCUACAAGUUGCUUUUUAAAUAUUUUCCUACUACAUCCAAAAUCUACACGUUGCAGCAUCAUCAAAACUCAUCUUCAGGUUUUACCAAUACUCCUUAUUUGUAACAAUCUCCCCCAUUUUGAUGAUGAUCAAAAAUUCACUUUUAAAAGCAACUAUGGUUUACCUGCAACACAUACAAGCUAAAAGACAACCACAAAGUUAGCAGUACAUGUACAAUUGUAAAAUAUUUCUCCCCUUAAUUCUCCCCUUUAUAAUUCUUCUCCCCCUUUUUUAUCAUAAGCAAAAAGAUUAAAUUAAAAAGCUCCCCCUAAAUAUGAUCUCCCCCUCAAUUAAACAAUGUAUGCAUAAAACAAGAGAUCAUGUUAUUCAUAAAAGAAAGGAUUACAUAAACACCAUAAGGAGAAACAUAAAAGACAGAAAUAUAACAUAGAGAUAAGAAUAACAACCAAACAACAAAGCACUCAGACAAAAAAAUCCUAAUUCUAAAAUUCAGGACUUGGGAUCUCUUGGGUGAUUGAAGGUUUAGGUGAUUUUCAAUAUUUCCUAGAUGAACAUCAAUGUCAAGAAAUUAAUCUUCAUGAGCUUGCUGCCACUCGUAAAUUUGAUCAAAUUUAGCUUUCUGGACAAGACUCAUACCCUCCAAUUAUCACAAAAGUUCUCAAUCAAAAGUUUCACCCCCUCUUUACAUAAAAAAACAUCUAAACUUAAAAGAAUUUAAGUUCUUUUANUUUAUUAAAAUUACUCCCCCUAAAUGGAAUAAUCCCCUUUGAUGAAACAGACCAAAAAAAAAA